AACGAACGCUGGCGGCAUGCCUAACACAUGCAAGUCGAACGAGACCUUCGGGUCUAGUGGCGCACGGGUGCGUAACGCGUGGGAACCUGCCUUUAGGUUCGGAAUAACUCAGAGAAAUUUGAGCUAAUACCGGAUAAUGUCUUCGGACCAAAGAUUUAUCGCCUUUAGAUGGGCCCGCGUUGGAUUAGCUAGUUGGUGGGGUAAAGGCCUACCAAGGCGACGAUCCAUAGCUGGUCUGAGAGGAUGAUCAGCCACACUGGGACUGAGACACGGCCCAGACUCCUACGGGAGGCAGCAGUGGGGAAUAUUGGACAAUGGGCGAAAGCCUGAUCCAGCAAUGCCGCGUGAGUGAUGAAGGCCUUAGGGUUGUAAAGCUCUUUUACCAGGGAUGAUAAUGACAGUACCUGGAGAAUAAGCUCCGGCUAACUCCGUGCCAGCAGCCGCGGUAAUGUGACUACUG
rnacentral:rRNA from 1 species